UUUUCCCCGGUGUAAGGAGGCGGGGGAAUAAGGAGAGGGCAAGACUGGUGUCAGCCGCCGCGGUAAUACCAGCUCUCCGAGUGGUAGGGAUGAUUAUUGGGCUUAAAGCGUCCGUAGCCGGCCUAGCAAGUCUUCCGUUAAAUCCAACGACCUAAUCGUUGGGCUGCGGGAGAUACUGUUGGGCUAGGGGGCGGGAGAGGCCGACGGUAUUCUCGGGGUAGGGGUGAAAUCUUAUAAUCCCGGGAGGACCACCAGUGGCGAAGGCGGUCGGCUAGAACGCGCUCGACGGUGAGGGACGAAAGCUGGGGGAGCGAACCGGAUUAGAUACCCGGGUAGUCCCAGCUGUAAACGAUGCGGGCUAGGUGUUGGGGCGGCUACGAGCCGCUUCAGUGCCGCAGGGAAGCCAUUAAGCCCGCCGCCUGGGGAGUACGGCCGCAAGGCUGAAACUUAAAGGAAUUGGC
rnacentral:rRNA from 1 species